GUGGGGAAUAUUGGACAAUGGGCGAAAGCCUGAUCCAGCCAUGCCGCGUGUGUGAAGAAGGUCUUCGGAUUGUAAAGCACUUUAAGUUGGGAGGAAGGGCAGUAAGUUAAUACCUUGCUGUUUUGACGUUACCAACAGAAUAAGCACCGGCUAACUUCGUGCCAGCAGCCGCGGUAAUACGAAGGGUGCAAGCGUUAAUCGGAAUUACUGGGCGUAAAGCGCGCGUAGGUGGUUUUGUAAGUUGGAGGUGAAAUCCCCGGGCUCAACCUGGGAACUGCCUCCAAAACUGCAUGACUAGAGUACGGUAGAGGGUAGUGGAAUGUCCGGUGUAGCGGUGAAAUGCGUAGAUAUAGGAAGGAACACCAGUGGCGAAGGCGACUACCUGUACUGAUACUGACACUGAGGUGCGAAAGCGUGGGGAGCAAACAGGAUUAGAAACCCCGGUAGUCC
rnacentral:rRNA from 1 species